AGCGAACGCUGGCGGCAGGCCUAACACAUGCAAGUCGAACGAACUCUUCGGAGUUAGUGGCGGACGGGUGAGUAACACGUGGGAACGUGCCUUUAGGUUCGGAAUAACUCAGGGAAACUUGUGCUAAUACCGAAUGUGCCCUUCGGGGGAAAGAUUUAUCGCCUUUAGAGCGGCCCGCGUCUGAUUAGCUAGUUGGUGAGGUAAAGGCUCACCAAGGCGACGAUCAGUAGCUGGUCUGAGAGGAUGAUCAGCCACAUUGGGACUGAGACACGGCCCAAACUCCUACGGGAGGCAGCAGUGGGGAAUCUUGCGCCAUGGGCGAAAGCCUGACGCAGCCAUGCCGCGUGAAUGAUGAAGGUCUUAGGAUUGUAAAAUUCUUUCACCGGGGACGAUAAUGACGGUACCCGGAGAAGAAGCCCCGGCUAACUUCG
rnacentral:rRNA from 1 species